rnacentral:rRNA from 1 species
AUUGAACGCUGGCGGCAGGCCUAACACAUGCAAGUCGAGCGGAUGAAGGGAGCUUGCUCCUGGAUUCAGCGGCGGACGGGUGAGUAAUGCCUAGGAAUCUGCCUGGUAGUGGGGGAUAACGUCCGGAAACGGGCGCUAAUACCGCAUACGUCCUGAGGGAGAAAGUGGGGGAUCUUCGGACCUCACGCUAUCAGAUGAGCCUAGGGCGGAUUAGCUAGUUGGUGGGGUAAAGGCCUACCAAGGCGACGAUCCGUAACUGGUCUGAGAGGAUGAUCAGUCACAAUGGAACUGAGACACGGUCCAGGAUCCUACGGGAGGCAGCAGUGGGGAAUAUUGGACAAUGGGCGAAAGCCUGAUCCAGCCAUGCCGCGUGUGAAGAAGGUCUUCGGAUUGGAAAGCACUUUAAGUUGGGAGGAAGGGCAGUAAGUUAAUACCUUGCUGUUUUGACGUUACCAACAGAAUAAGCACCGGCUAACUUCGUG